AGGGUGGAGCCAAACAGAGUACGGUGCAUAGACUGUAAAUAAAUGGGGUUUUUUUUGUUAGUUUUUAUGGUCAAAAUGAAAUAUCAAGUGGCCGAUCUUAAAAUAAAUCAAUAUCGAUUUUUCAUUUAUUAAGUUUUGUGACGCAAGGGGGCGUGGUUACCUGAUUGACAGUUUGUCUGGAAUGACUGACAGUCUGGAGGAUGUAGCCGAGACUCUGCUCUCCUGGAUUGGAUUAAUUCUGAUAUGGUCACUGGUGGUUUAUCGGUGAAGAAGCAGAACCUUUUCUACAGACACUUUUCCUGCCUGUUGGCUUGUUUUAACCAUUUUGCUAUCUCCGGCUGAUUCUACCAGCAGACGCUGAAAGUUCGGUGUCUCAUGUUCACUGUGAGGAUCUUCUGAGUGAAGCCAACAGAAGGAAAACCUCAUCUGGUUGUGAAGAAGGAGACUGAAUGGACGACAUCCUCAGUGAACCACUUCCUGUUUAGCUUUCACUGACAGAAGGAAAGACCAAUUCUUUCAGCAGUUUAUUAUUCUCUGUUCUUAGUAUUCACAGAUUCUAUUUAUCACCUUUAACUUCAUCUCUGCUGCUGUAGCAGAAAUACAACAGGGUUUCUGCAGAGCAUUAAUAGUCAUUAAGUUGAUUUUGCAAAAAUUAAGGCCUUAAAUGGCAUUAAAAUCAUUAAAUAUGAUUAUCUGUGGCAUUAAAAUUUCUUUCUGCAGUUUUCAAGAAAAUAAUUGACAAUAAAAUAUAUUUAUAGACUGCAAUUUGUCAGAUAUGUGCAUCUGCAUAAACAUGCCAAAGCAUUGAGAUAAUUGUUCCAGCCGGUUGGGUACAAUUUCCAAAAACUGCAUGUUUUUAAAGUGGCUGGGAAAUGGGGAAACACAAAUUCAAGCAAAAAUGGCUCAAAAACGUGGAUUUCAGAGAAUGACUGCAGCCCAUUGGUGUUCAGGGGUGGUUCCCAGAUUCAGAAAUAGUCAAAUGUAGGGUUUUCAUAUAAAAAUAAUCUUUUACAAAAAAAACCCAAACCCAUGUAAUUUGAGUUCAUGGUCGUGGCAUUAAAAUUUUUACAGUAUAGCAUUAAAAUUGACUGAUAUCUGCAGAAACCCUGUACAAUAUAAAAAGUCAAUGUUAUUUGUAACAGAUACAUAGCAUUAAAACAUCAACACAUUCAGGUCAAGAGCUUCAUUAUUUCCUUCACUGCACAUUUAAAAACUGCAUUAUUUAACAAUUGUGAACUGUAAAGAUGUGUAAACACAUAAUAAAUGGAUGAAAUAAAUAAUGUGUUGCUGACA